GUUUAUUGCUUGCAAAAGUAAAUCCAUUUUUCGAAGUUACAAAACAUUAAAAUGUUUUUAUCUUUAUAGAUCAAAUUUAUCGUUUAGAUCAAAUACAUGUGUAACUUCGAAAAAUGGAUUUACUUUUGCAAGCAAUAAAC